rnacentral:rRNA from 1 species
UACGUAGGGGGCGAGCGUUGUCCGGAAUUAUUGGGCGUAAAGAGCGUGUAGGCGGCCCGAUAAGUCCGCCGUGAAAGUCCAGGGCUCAACCCUCGGAUGCCGGUGGAUACUGUCGGGCUAGAGUGCGGAAGAGGCGAGUGGAAUUCCUGGUGUAGCGGUGAAAUGCGCAGAUAUCAGGAGGAACACCAAUUGCGAAGGCAGCUCGCUGGGACGUGACUGACGCUGAGACGCGAAAGCGUGGGGAGCAAACAGG